rnacentral:rRNA from 1 species
UACGUAGGGUGCAAGCGUUGUCCGGAUUUAUUGGGCGUAAAGAGCUCGUAGGCGGUUCGGCAAGUCGAAUGUGAAAUCUCCACGCUCAACGUGGAGGGGUCAUUCGAUACUGCCGUGACUUGAGUACGGUAGGGGAGUGUGGAAUUCCCGGUGUAGCGGUGAAAUGCGCAGAGAUCGGGAGGAACACCCGUAGCGAAGGCGGCACUCUGGGCCGAUACUGACGCUGAGGAGCGAAAGCGUGGGGAGCGAACAGG